rnacentral:rRNA from 1 species
CCUACGGGAGGCAGCAGUGAGGAAUAUUGGUCAAUGGGCGCGAGCCUGAACCAGCCAAGUAGCGUGAAGGAUGACUGCUCUACGGGUUGUAAACUUCUUUUGUAAAGGAAUACAGUGAGGCACGUGUGCCUUUUUGUAUGUCCUUUAUUAAUCAGGAUCGGCUAAUUACGUGCCAGCAGCCGCGGUAAUACGGAGGAUCCGAGCGUUGUCCGGCUUUAUUGGGUUUAAAGGGAGCGUAUAUGGGUUGUUAAGUCAGUUGUGAAAGUUUGGGGCUCAACCGUCAAAUUGCAAUUAAUACUGGCAGUCUUGAGUACAGUAGAGGUAGGCGGAAUUCGUGGUGUAGCGGUGAAAUGCUUAGAUAUCACGAAGAACUCCGAUUGCGAAGGCAGCUUACUAAACGGCCACUGACAUUGAUGCUCGAAAGUGUGGGUAUCAAACAGGAUUAGAUACCCGAGUAGUC